rnacentral:sRNA from 1 species
CAAACUCAGAUGUUGAGCGUGAAGGAUAACGUUGCGUCAGCAACGGCCCGUAGGGCGAGGCGAAGCCGAGUCAUCCUGCACGACCCACCA